CCUACGGGAGGCAGCAGUGAGGAAUAUUGGUCAAUGGGCUUACGCCUGAACCAGCCAAGUCGCGUGAGGGAAGACUGCCCUAUGGGUUGUAAACCUCUUUUGUCAGGGAGCAAUUGGCGCUACGUGUAGCGUUAUCGAGAGUACCUGAAGAACAAGCAUCGGCUAACUCCGUGCCAGCAGCCGCGGUAAUACGGAGGAUGCGAGCGUUAUCCGGAGUUGGUGGGGUUAAAGGGGCCGUAGGCGGAAUGCCAAGUCAGCGGGAAAAUCGCGGGGCUCAACCUCGCUCCGCCGUUGAAACUGGCGGUCUUGAGUGGGCGAGAAGUAUGCGGAAUGCGUGGUGUAGCGGUGAAAUGCAUAGAUAUCACGCAGAACUCCGAUUGCGAAGGCAGCAUACCGGCGCCCAACUGACGCUGAAGCACGAAAGCGUGGGUAUCGAACAGGAUUAGAUACCCUUGUAGUC
rnacentral:rRNA from 1 species